rnacentral:lncRNA from 1 species
CCACUACCCUCAGCACCUGAUGCUCCGUCUACAUACAGCUUCCAGCUAAAUUCUUGGGGGGGCUCUCUCUCUUCCCCCUUUCUUGAUAUCUCUGAGGAUGAUCCUCCUUUCUCCUCAUUGAAUGCGCACUCCGCUAUGAAGUCAGCCAGAGCUUGGGAUUUUAUGGCUGUUCGAGGUCGGUACUCUAGACAGUAAGGGCUAAUUUCUACGGACCAUGCCAACAUCCGCCCUGAAGUUUCCGGCCUACGUAGAAUCUUCUUUAAGGGUUGGUCUGUCAUCACGACUCCUUGGUGGCCUUCUAGAUAAACUCUGAAU